rnacentral:lncRNA from 1 species
GUGACCAUAAUGUGGUGGCUUCUCUCCCUUAGGUGGUUUGCCAACUGGGGUUGGUGGCUUGUAUGAGUCUUCAGCAUUCUCAGCAGGAGGGUGACCAGGGUUGUGACCAUAAUGUGGUGGCUUCUCUCCCUUAGGUGGUUUGCCAACUGGGGUUGGUGGCUUGUGUUCUGGGAGUGGCUUCUCCCCCUUGGGAGGUUUUUCCAAUGGGGUUGGUUUGUGUUCAGGAGGUGGCUUCUCCACUGGAGGCUUGUGUUCAGGAGGUGGCUUCUCCACCGGAGGCUUGUGUUCAGGUGGUGGCUUCUCCACCGGAGGCUUAUGCUCUGGUGGUGGCUUCUCGAAUGGGGGAUGCUUAGGAUAAUCAGCAAGUGAGGGGGCGGUGAGAACCACCAGGCCAAGCAACACCACUAGCAAAUAUGUAGGAGACAUCUUUGGGUUUGGGCUCAGAUGGUGCAAAACUAGGAGAAUUGGCUAGCCUUUUAUAGCGGAUCGUACCCAAUAAUGAAAUGACACGUGUCAUUAUGACCCAUGUGUAAUGGGGUCGAUUUGGGUCCUACAGUGUUGAAAACUUCGACAUCCACUUUUGGCCUUUUGCUUUCUCUACAGCCGCCUUGCUUUUUCCCUCUUUCCUUUUGUUUUCCUCCUGCCCCAUUCUAUCAACUAAACACAAUUAUGUAGUUGUUUAAUUCUUAAAUGAGAUAUUAUCCGUCAAUCGUAUUAUAUUUUAUCAAGAGAGAACGGAGUGCAAUGUGGCUGUAAUUUUAUCGUUUAGUUUUAUCUCUUGGACCACUGCAUUUUUGUUAAGAGGUGCAAUAAUACACGUCUUUAUCUGCCAUUCAAUAUUUACAGUAAAGAGAGGGCACAAAACUCUUCACUUCGCACCAUAAUUAUUUUGUUUUCUGGACACCCCGGGGCCCUUUGGUUGGUUUGGGGGUCAGAAAGUGAACAUCAUAGGGGGUUUUUCCCUUAUGUGCAUUUGUAUCUGAUGGCUUUAACUCGCCUUGUUACUACAAAGAAACUGUCACAGAUAGGAACUUAUUCCAGGCUGAGUAUCUCCUCAUAGACCCUAUAAAAGAAGACAAGUCAUAAUGAACAUCUAACCUUUGUUCAAUUUGAUUCAAUGCCCCCAUUGUGUCCAUCUCACAAAUCUGAAUUAUUAUAUCCAUUGAAUACAUAAAUUAAUGAAGAAAAUAUGAAACCCAAGAUACAUCUCUGCACAACCUCAACCCUGGUUGCUAUGUUUCCCUUCUAUUCACAUGAUUUGAUGCUAAUUGCCAAACUUGCAACAAGCCCUGAGUUUGACACCUAGUAUCGAUGGGCGAAUUUAAAGUCUCCUCCAAACAUAUAUUCCACAGCUUGAAGCUCACAGAAGAUGUUACAGGCAGGGAAAAACCUUCAGAGUUCGCUACCAAAGAUAAUUAUUAAGGAGAUAUCACAAAGAGAAUUCCAAGGGGUCUGAAUCAAAGACAAAUUGGUCGUUCGUGGGGGUUCUUACUUUCUUUUGGGUAUAACUCACUGAGGGCACUGUCUUUGUUAUUUGCAUUUCACAUUUAGAGUUCUGUUCUGGAAACAUAUAAAAGGAGCAUCAUUUUGUUCUUGGGUAACCCAUAGUCGUGAGUGGGUCCAUUUGCAUGCUACUUAGUUGAAAAGUUGGACCAUUUGCUCCGACGCCUACCUCCCGGAUUCCAUGCUCGGAUAAAACAAGAAUAAAAAAAAUAUUUAUAAUUUACAAAUGGGGGAAAGAAAAAAAUGUCAACAACAAACCAGGAAAAAAGAGUAGUAAAAUUCAUGUCACAUGCUAGUGAGAGAAGGGGUUGUUACACUCACUCGAAGUUCUUUCCAAAAUAUCGCAUGGUAUUUUAUUUUAUGUGUCAGCGCAGUUGUGAAUGGAACGUGCAAAAGUCCAAAUUGGCGUUUUUCCUUUUCCCGUGUAGGAUGGCGACCUUUAAUAAAUAUUUAAAACAAAAAACGAAAAAAAGGAGGGAAAAGGGAUCAGAAAAGAUAAAACAAUGUGUACAAGAGCUCAAUUAGUUUGCAAAUUACUGUUUGGAUUUUGAUAGUAUUUUAUUUGUCCAUCUAUAUUUGAUGGAAAAGAGAAUUUAAGAUAUUUCUGAAACAAAAGCAUUAGUGUAAAACUAAAUUAAGGUAUAAUUAAGUUAGUUCAAUGCAUUAAUUUAAGAAACUUGAUCUAUCCAAAGUACAAAAUUAGAUGAAAUCCAUUUCAAUGGUUAAAAUGAUCAAAAUCAAACUUUUUCUAAGUAUUUUUUAAAAGCAUCAAUAUUAAAAGACAAUUUUAUAUUUAGUCGGAGUUUGGACAAAACCAAAAAGCACACAAAAUCCAAGCGACCAUCUCUAGCUUGGAUAGUCACUUGAUCCCACCUAGAGAUGUGCAUGAGUAAAAGGAUUUGAAAAUGGAAAUUGACUAAAUAUUUAGUUGAUCAAUUAAAUUUGCAAUGUCAUAUGCAAUCCUAAUAGCUAGUCAUCUAAUCAAUUAGGUAGUCAAUCAAGUGUUUGUAAUGACUAUUUUGUACAAAAAACCACAUGUAUAGUUAAAUAUAAUGCAUUUCAUUUAUAAAUCUUCUAAUUCUUGAAUAACGAUCCUAUCAUCCUUUGAAAAUUUUUAUUACACCUUUUUUACUUUUGUUCUAAAACUUACAUAUCACCCUUAAUUGUACCAUGAGAACCUAGCUAUUUUUUUUUUUUUUGUAAUUCAUCAAAGUUAGCUUUUGUAUUCAUUGUUGUAUUAUUUUUAGUAUAACUUAGAAAGCUAGUGUUUUCAAGUGAGUAAAAUUAACUUGUAAAUAUUGUAAAGAUUCAUUGAUAUGUAUCUUAAACUAAGUGUACAAAUUAAAACAUUUGCUAGUAGAUUUUCUCAAAAUUUAGAAUAGAGCUUGAGGCUAUUGAAAUAGGUGGGGUUACACCAAACCACAUCACAUCGUUGUUUGCACCUUUUUUCACUCUCUUUUACUUAGUUUCUCUAUAUUUGUUGUCUAGUAAUAUCCUAUAGGCUUGAUGGGUUAGGGAGCAUCCCUUUGUGAAAAAAUUUCAUUCAAUUCUUAGUUGUAUUACGCAUAUAUAAAAUGCCUCAUUGUUUUAAUGGUAUUCAGUCGUGGCAUCACAGAUAUGGGCAUCUAAAUUUUAAAAGUUUGAAACUUUUGUAAAGCAUGUUGAUAAAAUCCAUGAGAGUUGUGUACUUGGGAAGCAACAUCGAGGUGACUUUAUUUUUUUUUCCUUUUAUAAUGCCACACCUAAGUCCGGUUUCUAAAUGCUAAAGUGAAAGGGUAGGUAUGGACCAUUGAAAUGUGAUCACAACUUUUGGCCUUUUCCUUUCUCUGCAGCCAUGUUGUCUCUUUUUUCUUUUGCAUGAUUUUCUUACCAAAACAGAAUCAUAGACUUGUUUAGUCUCUAAGCUACUAUAUUAUAUCUCGGUGGACUUUUAAGAGUGCAACCGACAUAGAGCACAUGCAAGUGGGCAUAUGGGACAUGAAAUUUCUUCUUACAAAGAUUGCAUGAUUUUUAUAUUAGAGUUGUUCACGUGCAAUGUAUUUAGCUUGUUUUGCAGUUAAAUUAAUUGGAUAAGUAAACAUUGGCAUUUCUAAAUCGACUGUGAAGUGCUUCAUGUACGUGUAAAGUAUUAGAAAUUUCUUUCUUGGCAACUUGUUUUUUCCUUGCCAUCUACUGGUAGGUUUGACUAAAAUUAUAUUCCCUGUCAUGCUAAUUAAUUUUCAUGUGCAUGCUCAAAAGAAGAGUAUGACCUUAGUGCACCAAAAUCACUUUGAUUAAUUUGUGAUAGGUUUUUUUGCAUCAUUUAGAUAAUGUUUAGUUCUAAGAAAAAUUUAUAUAAAAAUGGUUUAUUUAUCUUACAUAUAUAUAUAUAUAUAUAUAUUUUUUUUUUUUUCAUUUUUUUUUCUUCUAUUUUAUUUAUUUAUUUUAUUUUCCUUAUGUUUUCCUCACAUUUUCCGGAACUAAACAUAGUCUUACGAAAUCAACAAUUGCCUUCAACUGAGUAGAUUCUGUUGUUUUAGCAAUGUUAGGCUGCUAACUUGUGGUGGUACGAACCAAAUGACCCAUGUUAAUCUUGGCUUGGUUUGAUUUGGCUCUAUCUCAGAGAGCUAAAGGAUCACGUCAACUCUGGUUUCUACUAUUCAGGUCCAUUCCCAGAUGAACUGGUUCAAAUUUGAGAAAAUGGUAACAGACCUUUAGUGAUGUUGGUUUGGAGCCAGUUGCCAAACCCGCCCUGAGCUUUACCACUAAUGUCAAGGGAGAAAGCCAUUUGAACAAAAACAAUAGCUUCAAGAGACUGAAUCGUGGAUGAAAUCUGAUCCACAUUUCUUCUCAUUUUGGGAAAAAAUGAGAACUUAACUACAAAGAUUCUACUGCCUCAUUCAUAGUGCUUUUCCUGAUCCAAGGUUGGUUCGUUUCCCAAAUUGUGAGGUGCACGUGCCACUCUCACGCUCAGGAGUGUAUCCACGUGGUGGACAUCAGAUGGUGGCUUAAUAUCUGGUGUCGGUGGCUUUACUUUACUAGGAGAGUAGUGUGUCUUCAUCUCAUUCACUGCCGGAGGGUGGCGUAAGCAGUGACGCUAAGGUGGGGCACAGUCAAUAUCAUUUGCAUUUGACCAUUAUAGUUUUCUCCCGGCUUGAAAGUAACCUUAUCGUGAUAAAGGAUUACUAGCACUAGUUCAGAUGACCGUCAUGUUAAUUCGGACCAUGUUUGUGUCACAUUAUCAGCAACCAUGUGUUUAUGGUUCAUGCUAUCUGCAACUAAACUUGAUAUAUAACCAGGUGAACUUCAAUCAAAAUUCUGGAAGUACUCUUGUGAUAGAUGGUGCCUGUCUGCAGAGUCCAUCAAUUGAAAAAUGGAGUGAGUGUAUCUAUAAGAGGGAAGGCUUGGCAAAUGUUCAGUUUUCUGGGAAUUCAACAAGGAUCUAAAAUAGAUUGUUUUCUUUGCCGACUUCAAUGGUUGAAAUUUGAGAAGAUUGUGUCCACAUAUCACAACUAUUACUGGUCCUUCUGUUGCAAUUUAUCCUGUAAGGCUCUAACAUGUCUUCCAAUUCCCACUUCCCUGUUACUCCAGGAAAGCUAUUUCUGUCAUUGUGAAGAAGAAAAGAGAAUGUACAUAUCGAUGCUUUUAAGUGACUGGAGCAUUCAUAUCAGGUGGUCUGCAGCCAUAUAUGCCACUUUGUGAAGGUUGGAACAGUCAAUCACUAGGCUAUAUAUUGGUGUGGCCCAGCCACUUCAAUCAAGGACAAGUCUUCAUACUUAAAGUCAAAUUCUGCCUUUAGUCUCAUUAUAAAUUGCUGUUUAAAUAUUAAGCAAACUUUUGUUUAAUGCGAUUAAGACAGUACUAACUCAAUACUUGUUCUAUUUUUGGAUGCAAAUGCUUGAUGGUUUCAUCAUUGGAUGGGAUAAAGGUGCAUUCAUGAUUAUGAAUACUUGUAGUUAUAUUUUCAUUCUCUUUUUUCUCAAUGAGACUUGUUGGCACAAUGUUGCUGUUCAGAAACCUACCUCUCCAUGGAAAAUAAGUUGCGAUUGAUAGUACUGGAUAUGUUCAAGAAAGCUAAAUAUAGAUAGCACAAAAUAUUAUCGAUAUAAAUAGCAUUAACAGCGUACGUAUGUCUCAAUGCUCAUCAGCUAUAAGCAUGGGACAAACACUUACUAUGAGCAACUUACGUCAAAAUUCCAGAAUAGGACAUAGAAGUGACAGAUCUAUAUAUAUAGAACACUGCAUAUGAGUCACAAGAAAGGAAAUUACGGGUGCAUAGCAGCUCUUAUUUUACAUACUACUACUCAUACUGAUCAAAGUCACUCAGUUGGGAUGGGUGGGAGUAGGAGGUUUGUGGGGUGGCUUGUGCGGAGGAGUUGGCAGCUUCUUUCCAGGACCUGGUUGCUUCUCUGCUGGAGUUGAAGGAGGCUUAAUCUUCCGAGGUGGCUUGUAUGAGUCUUCAGCAUUCUCAGCUGGAGGGUGACCAGGGUUGUGACCAUAAUGUGGUGGCUUCUCUCCCUUAGGUGGUUUGCCAACUGGGGUUGGUGGCUUGUAUGAGUCUUCAGCAUUCUCAGCAGGAGGGUGACCAGGGUUGUGACCAUAAUGUGGUGGCUUCUCUCCCUUAGGUGGUUUGCCAACUGGGGUUGGUGGCUUGUGUUCUGGGAGUGGCUUCUCCCCCUUGGGAGGUUUUUCCAAUGGGGUUGGUUUGUGUUCAGGAGGUGGCUUCUCCACUGGAGGCUUGUGUUCAGGAGGUGGCUUCUCCACCGGUGGCUUGUGUUCAGGAGGUGGCUUCUCCACCGGAGGCUUAUGCUCUGGUGGUGGCUUCUCCACCGGAGGCUUAUGCUCUGGUGGUGGCUUCUUGAAUGGGGGAUGCUGAGGGUAAUCAGCAAGUGAGGGGGCGGUGAGAACCACCAGGCCAAGCAACACCACUAGCAAAUAUGUAGGAGACAUCUUUGGGUUUGGGCUCAGAUGGUGCAAAACUAGGAGAAUUGGCUAGCCUUUUAUAGCGGAUCGUACUCAAUAAUGAAAUGACACGUGUCAUUAUGACCCAUGUGUAAUGGGGUCGAUUUGGGUCCUACAGUGUUGAAAACUUCGACAUCCAGUUUUGGCCUUUUGCUUUCUCUACAGCCGCCUUGCUUUUUCCCUCUUUCCUUUUGUUUUCCUCCUGCCCCAUUCUAUCAACUAAACACAAUUAUGUAGUUGUUUAAUUCUUAAAUGAGAUAUUAUCGGUCAAUCGUAUUAUAUUUUAUCAAGAGAGAACGGAGUGCAAUGCAGCUGUAAUUUUAUCGUUUACUUUUAUCUCUUGGACCACUGCAUUUUUGUUAAGAGGUGCAAUAAUACACGUCUUUAUCUGCCAUUCAAUGUUUACAGUAAAGAGAGGGCACAAAACUCUUCACUGCUCUGCAUGUGUCCCAAAAAUGCGAUUGGACAAAUUAUGAUUUGCAUGCUAAAAAGAGGCAAAUGAGGUUAAUUCGCACCAUAAUUAUUUGGUUUUCUGGACACCAUAAAAAGAUGUUAUACAGGCAGGGAAAAACCUUCAGAGUUAGCUACCAAAGAUAAUUAUCAAGCAGAUAUCACCAAGAGAAUUCCAUAGAGUCUGAAUCAAAGACAGAUUGCUCGCUCGUGGGGGUUCUUACUUUCUUUUGGGUAUAACUCACUGAGGUCACUGUCUUUUUUAUUUGCAUUUCACAGUUAGAGUUCUGCUCUGGAAGGUUUGUUCUGGAAACAUAUAAAAGGAGCAUCAUUUUGUUCUUGGGUAACCCAUAGUCGUGAGUGGGUCCAUUUGCAUGCUACUUAGUUGAAAAGUUGGACAAUUUGCUCCGACGCCUACCUCCUGGAUUCCAUGCUCGGUAAAACAAGAAUAAAAAAAAAUAUAUAAUUUACAAAUGGGGGAAAGAAAAAAUGUCGGAAAAAAUAGUAAAAUUCAUGUCACAUGCUAGUGAGAGAAGGGGUUGUUACACUCACUCGAAGUUCUUUUCAAAAUAUCGAAUGGUAUUUUACUUUAUGUGUCAGCGCAGUUGUGAAUGGAACGUGCAAAAGUCCAAAUUGGCGUUUUUAUUUUUCCCAUGUAGGAUGGUGACCUUUAAUAAAUAUUUAAAACAAAAGACGAAAAAAAAAAGGAGGGAAAAGGGAUCACAAAAGAUAAAAUAAUGUUUACAAAAGCUCAAUUAGUUUGCAAAUUACUGUUUGGAUUUUGAUAGUAUUUUAUUUGUCGUUCUAUAUUUGAUGUAAAAGAGAAUUUAAGAUAUUUCCGAAGCAAAAGCAUUAGUUUGCUCUGUGAUGUCCCACAUCGAAUAGGGGAGAAAGUUUCUGGCGCUAUAUAUGUAGAGGCUCCUCUUAACCAAGUAGAUGCGUUUUAAAACCAUGAGGGCCCCCUUAGGUCCAAAGCGGACAAUAUCUACAUGAUUGGGUGUAAGUCAUUACAAAUGGUAUCAGAGCCGAUCCCCGACCCCGGUGUGGGGGUUUGUUUGGCCCUGUAAGGGGUGUUUGUCUGUUUGACCCCACAAUCCCAUGGGACACAACGAGGACGUUGUGUCUGCAUGGGGGGGCGUUUGUGAUGUCCCACAUCGGAUAGGGGAGAAAGUUCCUAGUGCUAUAUAUGUAGAUGUUUCUCUUAACCAAGUAGAUGCAUUUUAAAAUUGUGAGGGCCUCUUUGGGCCCAAAGCGGACAAUAUCUACAUGGUUGAGUGUAAGUCAUUACAUGCUCCAUGUCAAUUUCAGCAUUUCUCAUAUGUUUCACACAUACACAGAAGAGCAUCGUUUUUUAAAGCAUGCAUUUAUGUUGGAUUAAUUUGGAUUUUGUGGGAACUGGGGCAAGGAUCACAUGGAAGAGAGGUUGACUUUUUUCAGUACUUCAAUGGUUGAAAUAUGUGAAGGCUUGAUUGAUACUAAAGCUUGAAAUUGCGACUCUGUCAUUUGUAAAAAAAUAUGACAGCUUCCAUGCUCUCGUUUGGUUGCAUUGUCCGGUCGAGAGGUGCAAAAAGCAUUCUCUCUCUUCUAAUAGUCUUUUCGUUUAAAUCAAGGGAUUUGCCUUCCCGGUCGAGGUCCAAUAGAGGGUAACGGUCACCUACUAAACAUUAAAUGCUCCAACAACUAGUGAACUGAUCGACCCCAGCUCGACUAGUUGAGGUUACUUUUUGGUUUUCUUGUCUCCCGAGGUUAGAAACCUAUAAAUAGAGAGCUUCACUUCAUUUAUGAGUAAGAGAACACCUAAAUUUAUUUGUUUACCUACUUGUUUUUGCCAUAAAAGCUCUCAUUUCUUUUCUUGGUGUAUUAAAUCUCCAUUUGCAUAUCCUUUAGUGCACCUUUGUGAUUCAUUCUAGCCUUGAGUUGUAUUUAAGCCUUUGUUGAGCUAGGUUGAGAGUUUCAUACUUGUUUAUUGAGUGUUAAAGCCUUCAAGUGAGUUAAAACUUGAAGAGAUUGUGUAAGAGCCCAUUGGAGUCGGAAUCCAAGUGUAAAGGUGAUUAAAAGCUUGGUUGAAGCUUCAAGUUAGUGGAACUCUCACUCGGUUAUGAGCUUGAGAAGAGUGGACAUAGACAAGGCAGUGUCGAACCACUAUAAAAUCUGAGUUUGAUUUCUCUAACCUUAUCUCUUUAUAUUUGCUUCUCUUGUGCUUAAAUUUUUUGUGUUUAAAAAGAAUUUUUAAAAACUCAAUUCACCCCCUUCUUGGGAGUUUUUCUCUUUUAAGAUCAGCUUUUAUUUUCUCAAUUGGUAUCAGAACUAUGCCUCUUGUUUAAGACUUAAUCGUCUAAGAGGAAAUGGCUAAUCCAUCAAGUUCAUCUCACAUUGAAAGUUUUGCAACCAAUAGACUUCUUUUUUUUUUUUUGCGGGAACUGAUUAUCCCUAUUGGAAAACUAAAAUGACUUGGUUUUUACAAUCAAUUGAUUUAGAUGUAUGAGAUGCCAUUGAAGAUGACCUAACUUUUCCUUCAAAACUAGUUGAUGGAGUCAUGGUUCCAAAACCUAAGCAAGAAUGGGAUGAGCGUGAUUGAAGAAAUUUUCAAUUAAAUGCUAAAGUCGUUUAUACUUUGCAAUGCUCUAUGGACAGAAAUGAAUAUAAUAGAAUAUGUCAAUGCAAAUCGGUUAAAGAAAUUUGGAGAUUGCUUGAAAUAACUCAUAAAGGAACAAAUCAAGUUAAAGAGUCAAAAAUCAAUUUACUUGUUCAUAGAUAUGAAUUGUUUUUUAUGAAAGAUAAUGAAACUAUUGUUAAGAUGAUCACUAGGUUCACCAACAUUGUUAAUGGUCUUAAAGCCUUGGGAAAGACCUACAAGGAAUCCGAAAACGUGAUGAAGAUCUUGAGGUCACUUCCAUCAAAGUGGCAUACCAAGGUCACCGCAAUUUAAGAAGCAAAAGACUUGAUCAAGCUACCUUUGGAGGAGUUCAUAGGGUCAUUGAUGACAUAUGAAAUCAAUUUGGCAAAGAAGUAACAAAAAGGUGAAGACAAAAAGAAGAAGAACAUAACUCUCAAAGCUACAACUAAGGAAGAAGAAGUUGAAGAAGAAAAACAAAUUGAAGAAGAUGAAGAUUUAGCCCUCAUCACAAGAAAGUUCAACAAAUUCAUGAGGGGUGAAAGGUUUAGAAGAAGAAGGUUCACUUCUAGAAGAGACUUUUCUAAAAAGGAAUCUUCAUCUAAUGGUGACAAAAAGAGAUGGGAAGAGAAAAGAGACUUGGUGUGUUUCAAGUGCAAGAAACCGGGACACAUUAAAUAUGAUUGUCCUCUCUACAAAAGUGAAGUCAAGAGGAAAAAGAAUAAGGCAAUGAUGGCCACUUAGAGUGAAAGUGAAGAUGAAUCAUCCGAAGAAGAAAAUGAGAAAGAAGUGGCAAACAUGUGUUUCAUGGCAAUAGAUGAACUUGAUGAGGUAAAAUCUAACCUUAGUGAUUAAGAUAUACAUGAUGCAUUUGAAGAAUUGUAUGAGGAUUUUUAAAAACUUAGUUUGAAAAAUAUUUCUCUUAAAAAGAAAGUUCAACAACUUGACAAAGAACUUAGAGAAGUAAAAGAAAAAUUUUCAAAUGUUAAAGUUUCUAAAACUCAUCUUGAAAAAGAAAAUGAGAUUCUAAGAAAGAAAAAUGAAUAGUUGAACUCCUCUCUUUCAAUCUUUUCUUCUAGACAAAAAUCUUUUGAAAUGAUUCUAACUAGCUAAAAAUGUGUUUUUGACAAACAAGGGUUAAGAUUUAAAUCUUCAAAAAAUCAAAAGUAUUUUAAAAACUAUUUUGUAAAGGAAUCCACAAGUGCAAGUCCUUCCACUACUUGCAACUUUUGUGGAAGAGAAUGGCACAUUAGUAGUACGCCCUUUAAGAAAUGGUUCUCAAAAGAAUUUAAAUGCAAAAACUAAAAAAGAUUUGGAUUGAGAAAUCCAAGGUCACUAACCCUCAAGGACCCAAAAAGAUAUAGGUACCUAAAUCAACUUGAGUUUUAUGUUGUAAGGUUCAAAGAAUGAUAAGUGGUUCUUAGAUAAUGGUUGCUCAAGACACAUGACCGGAGAUGAAUCCAAGUUUGCUUUUCUUAAAAAGAAAAAUGGAGGAUAUGUUACCUUUGGAGACAAUGCAAAAGAAAGGAUGAUUGGUCAAGGCAACAUUGGUAAUGGCACAUCCUCUCUCAUUGAAAGUGUUUUAUUAGUAGAUGGUUUCAAACAUAACCUUUUAAGCAUUAGUCAAUUUUGCGACAAAGGUUUUUAAGUGAUUUUUUAAGCAUCUCAUUGCAUCAUCAAGGAUAUUCAAAAUGAUAAAACCAUUUUCAUGGGCCAUAGAUGUGAUAAUGUUUAUGCUAUAAAUAUUUCAAAAUAUGAUGGCCAUGAUAGAUGUUUUUCAAGCAUGCAUGAUCAAAGUUGGUUGUGCCAUAGGAGAUUGAGACAUGCUAACAUAGACCUCAUUUCCCAACUCAACAAAGAUGAACUUGUUAGAGGCCUUCCCAAAAUAAUUUUUUAAAAAGAUAAAGUUUGUGAAGCUUGUCAAGUGGGAAAGUAAAUCAAAAACUCUUUUAAAAACAAAAACUUCAUUUCCACAUCUAGGCCACUUGAGUUGUUGCAUAUGGAUUUAUUUGGUCCCUCUAGGACACCAAGUCUUAGAGGAAAUUCUUAUGCAUAUGCUAUUGUGGACGACUUCUCUAGAUACACAUGAGUCUUGUUUUUUAGUCAAAAGAAUAAAGUUUUUUAUGAGUUUUCAAAGUUUUGCAAUAAGAUUCAAAAUGAAAAAGGUUUUUCAAUUACUUAUAUAAGAAGUGAUCAUGGGAGAGAAUUCGAAAAUAUUGAUUUUGAAGAGUAUUGCAAUGAGCAUGGAAUUGACCACAAUUUUUUGGCUCUUAGAACUCCUCAACAAAAUGGGGUAGUUGAAAGGAAAAAUAGAACUCUUCAAAAAAUGACAAGAACCAUACUAAAUGAAAACAACUUACCAAAAUAUUUUUAGGCCAAAACGGUUAACACUUCUUGUUAUGUUUUAAAUAGAGUAUUAUUGAGGCUCAUACUUAAGAAAACUCCCUAUGAGCUUUGGAAAAACAAAAAACCCAACAUUAGUUAUUCCAAAGUCUUUGGAUGCAAUAUUUUAUAAUAAACACCAAAGACAAUCUUGGAAAAUUUGAUGCAAAAUUGGAUGUUGGAAUUUUCCUUGGUUACUCAACUUCAAGUAAAGCUUUUCGAGUUUUAACAAAAGAACCAUGGUUGUAGAGGAGUCCAUCCAUGUUAUUUUUUAUGAAUCUCCAAGAAAGAGAGAGGAUUGAUGAUGAUUUAGGUUUGAAGACCUCUAUAGGAAGAUUGCAAAUCGAAGAUAGAAGACAACAAGAAGAAAAUGGAGAGAAUCCAAAGAAAGAAGGAUCACCAUUGGCACUACCCCCUCAUCAACAAGCGCAAGGUGAAUCAAGUCAAGAGCUUCCUAAAGAAUGGAAGUUUGUCAUCAAUCACCCACAAGAUCAAAUUAUAGGCAAUCCAUCUAGUGGGGUAAGAACUAGAUCCUCUCUUAGAAAUAUUUGCAAUAAUCUAGCUUUUAUCUCUCAAAUUGAGCCUAAAAAUAUAAAUGAUGUUUUAGAUGAUGAAAAUUGGAUAAUUGCAAUGCAAGAAGAGUUAAAUCCAUUUGAAAGAAGUGGAGUAUGGGAAUUAGUACCAAGACCUUCAAAUCAAAGUGUUAUUGGAACUAGAUGGAUCUUUAGAAAUAAAAUGGAUGAAAAUAGCAUAAUUGUUAGAAAUAAAGCAAGAUUGGUAGCCCAAGGUUUUAAUCAAGAAGAAAUGAUAGAUUAUGAAGAAACCUUUGCCCCCGUAGCUAGGUUGGAAGCCAUUAGGAUGCUACUUGCCUUUGCAUGUUUUAAAGACUUUGUUUUAUAUCAAAUGGAUGUGAAAAGUGCUUUUUUAAAUGGUUUUAUAAAUGAAGAAGUAUAUGUUGAACAACCACCCGGUUUUCAAAGUUUCAACUUUCCUAACCAUGUUUUUAAACUUAAAAAGACACUUUAUGGUUUGAAACAAGCACCUAGAUCAUGGUAUGAAAAAUUGAGUAAAUUUCUUUUGAAAAAAAUGUUUUAAAAUGGGAAAAAUUGACACAACUCUUUUUAUAAAAACCAAAGAAAAUGAUAUGCUCUUAGUUCAAAUAUAUAUUGAUGAUAUCAUUUUUGGUGCUACUAAUGUCUCUCUUUAUGAAGAAUUUUCUAAGUGCAUGCAUAGUGAGUUUGAAAUGAGCAUGAUAGGAGAACUCAACUUCUUCCUUGGACUUCAAAUCAAGCAACUAAAGGAAUGAACCUUCAUCAAUCAAGCAAAGUAUAUAAGAGAUCUUCUCAAAAGGUUCAACAUGGAAGAAGCCAAAACAAUGAAGACUCUAAUGAGCUCAUCCAUUAAGCUUGAUAAGGAUGAGAAAGGUAAAUCCAUUGACUCUAUUAUGUAUAGAGGCAUGAUAGGUUCUUUGCUCUAUUUGACCACUAGUAGACCUUACAUUAUGUAUAGUGUGUGUUUGUGUACUAGAUUUCAAUCUUGUCUUAAAAAAUCUCACUUAAGUGUCGUGAAAAGAAUCCUCAAAUAUUUGAAAGGGACAAUGGACAUAGGCUUAUGGUAUCCUAAGAGUGAUAACUUUGAAUUAAUUGGUUUUUUGGAUGCUGAUUUUGUCAGUUGUAGGGUUGAAAAAUAAAACACUAGUGGCACUUUUCAUUUCUUAAGACACUUACUUGUCUCAUGGCAUAAUAAGAAGCAAAAUUUGGUAGCUUUGUCAACAGCAGAAGCUAAAUACAUAGCAACUGGUUUAUGUUGUGCACAAAUCCUUUGGAUGAAAUAAACACUUAGUGAUUUUGAUUUAUCUUUUGAGCAUAUUCCUAUUAAAUGUGAUAAUAGUAGUGCCAUAAGUAUAUCAAAAAAUCUCGUGCAACACUCUAGGACUAAGCAUAUAGAGAUUAGACAUAAUUUUCUUAGAUAUCAUACACAAAAGGAUGAUAUAACACUUGAAUUUGUAAGCAUAAAAGACCAACUUGCCGAUAUCUUUACAAAACCUCUAAGAACAUUUUGUUGAUAUUAGAGGACAAUUAGGAGUGAUUUCUUUAUGAUCUAAUGUGAUGAAUUCUUGAUGAAUAUACUUUUUGAUUGCAUGAAUUUCAUGUCAUAUAUGCAUCAUAUAGAAAUAUACUUAGAUAAUGGUCAAAUUUCGACCAAAAAUCAAAAUUCCCAUGGCAUUAGGCAUAAAAAUUUUGGAAUUUCAACUGAAAAUGGUAGGAGGAGGAUCACAAAAUGAGAAAGUAUGCAAAAAUUGAAAAAUCAAAACGUUGACCAAGCGGUCAAUCGGACUAGACCGAUCGACUAGUUUGUCGAGAUUUAGGAUUUUUAAGAGACUCCAACGCUUCAAUUUUUGCACCGUUCUCCUCUAUUUCUUCACGGUUUCUCUGAUUUUGUCUUUUAGAGACUAAUUUGAGUGCGUUUUGGAUCAAUUGAAGCAUUUUGGAUUGGAUUUUAGGAAGAUUGAAAGUUAAGGUUUCGGAUUUGGGUCGCCUUCUCUUCCUCUCGCGUGUCACAAUCAGCUUUAGCAUUGUUCUCUUUCCAUUUUCACACACCUAGGGUUUCAGUUGUGAGCAUCUCUCUCUCUUUACCAACCACUACUCCCUUGCUUCUUCCAUAUGGCUCCUAGGCGAGAGUCCGCUACUUCUAGGGCACAAGGCAAGCACCCAACUGAGUCGUCUCAGUCAAAGGCACGUCGAAAAGUGAGAUUUGACAUUGCCUUGUUCAGUUCCAUGGAGGACUACCAACUAUACAAGCAACACUUUGCUUAGAGACGAGUAGUUCCCAAGAGAAAUAUUAAUUUUCCUCAACUUCAGCAUUUCGAAUUUAAGGGUCUAUUUACUAGGAUGGUUGGUUGUCUAUUGUCACAAUUUCGGAGCCGGUUUUCCUGACCUUAGUGCGAGUUUUUUACUCGAGGGCGACUUAUGGCAUGGGUGGCAUGAUCAUUUCUACUGUUGGAGGAGUUGAGAUCUGUCUGGACCCAGAGAGCAUCUGCCAUAUUUUCGAUAUUGCUCUGGUUGGACUCAAAGUAUACAAGUCCAAAAUGUGGCCCAUUGUGCCAGGAUUUGAGCUUAGAGAGGUCAUUCAGAGGAUUUGUGAACUUCCAGACGCCCAGGAGAUGGGCAAACCAUUGCCACACAGUUUGACGGUCAUCAACAGGGUGCUACACCAUAUAUUGUGCUCUAUCUUUCUACCACGAAGUGGACAUUGAGAUGAGGUCUCUUAUUAUGAGGCAUUCCUUAUUGACUCCAUUCUAACGGAGAGACGAAUUCAUCUACUAUGUCAUCAUUCACUAAGCCUCCUCACAGUGACAUACCACCUCAUCAGGCACCUCUUGCUCCUGACCAUGCUCCAUUGAUGGAUUUAUUUACUCAUAUUAGCUCUCUAGGCACUCGCAUGAAGGAGUUUGUUGUAGUUAGUGAUACAUGGUUCUACUCCAUAGAGGAUCGCAUGGAUCAGUAUCAGACUGGCUUCACGUCACAGUUUGAGUAUCUCCAAUAGAGGAUUGAGCAUAUUGAGGAUCACUUGAGCAUGAGAAGAUGAUGGCUUUUCUAUGCUCUGUGUUUCCACCUCCACCUCGUCAACCUUGAUUUCUUAGAGACCCAUUGUUUUCAUUUUGUAAUGUUGCCAAAAGGGGGAGAUAUUUAGGAUCUAGGACUCUAUAGGAGACUUACAUGCAUAUCAUUUUCAUAUCAUUGUUUGGAUCGUACAUAUUGGAUAGUGAUACUUUUUACUUAUAUAUGAUAUGCCUAUAUGUUUCAUGUCUUACAUUGUUUCUUAUUGCAAAUUAUCUCUAACAUGUCUUGAUUAUCUUUUUUUUAACUUCAUAAAUUUUGAUUGUUAACCCAUGAUUGGUUUGAGGGGAAGAUUCUUCUUCUCCUAGAUAACCAAGGUUUGUCAUCAUAAAAAAAUUGGAGAUUGUUAGCCCAAGGGUUCUCCUAAUCAUGUUUUGAUGAUAACAAACCAUGCUUAAGUUACUAAUUGGUUUGAAUUAUAAAGAAUUUCAAGUGUUAAUUUGAAAAUUCAUCAAAGAACCUAAUGGAUGCAAGAUCAAGAUUUUUGGAAGACCUUUAAUCAUAAGAAACAUAUGUAAGAUGAAUGCAUGGGUGCACUUAAGAUUUGCAUAUCAUUUCAUGCAUAUUUGGAAAACACGGUUUAUGCUUUAAAGUUACAUUUCCAUCAAAAUUUGAGAUCCAUCAAAUGAACCUUAGGAAAAAUGUUUUAAAAUUGGCAUAUAAUUUUACCUAAAGACCUUGCCUAAGUGUUAGAAGCAAAAGGACAAAAAAAAUAUAGGUUUUCUGGUCAAAAAUGGUGAACCAGUCAAGGCAUUGUCUAAAUCAGCUCAAUCGGCCAAGGUACCGGUCGAUCGGUUUCCCUUUCCCUGUCGAGAUCUAGUCAAGAGGUACAAAAAUCACAAUCUCUGUCUCUUUCUCUCUUUGUCUAUCUUCCAGUAGUCUUUCCUUCCCGGUCGAGGGAUUUGCCUUCCCGAUUGAGGUCCGAUUGAGAGUAAUAGUCACUUGCCAAAUAUUAAAUGCUCCAACAGUUAGUGAACUGGUCGACCCCCACCUUGCCCAGUUGAGGUUACUUUUUGGUUUUCUUGGCUCCCGAUGUUAGAAACCUAUAAAUAGAGAGUUCCACUUCAUUUAUGAGCAAGAGAACACUUGCAUUUAUUUGUUUACCUACUUGUUCUUGCCUUAAAAGCUCUCAUUUCUUUUCUUGGUGCAUUAAAUCUCCAUUUUGAUAUCCUUUAGUGCACCUUUGUGAUUCAUCUUAGCCUUGAGUUGUAUUUGAGCCCUUUUUUUAGCUAGGUUGAGAGUUUCAUACUUGUUAAUUGAGUGUUAAAGCCUUCAAGUGAGUUGAAACUUGUAGAGAUUAUGUGAGAGUCGAUUGGAGCCGAAAUCCAAGUGUAAAGGUGAUUAGAAGCUUGGUUGAAGCUUCAAGUUAGUGGAAUCCUCACUCAAUUAGGAGCUUGAGGAGAGUGGACGUAGCCAAGGAAGUGUCGAACCACUAUAAAAUUUGAGUUUGAUUUCUCUAACAUUGUCUCUUUAUAUUUGUUUAUCUUGUGCUUAAAUUUAUUGUGUUUAAAAAGAAUUUUUAAAUACCCAAUUCACCCCCCUCUUGGGUGUUUUUCUCUUUUAAAAUUAGCCUUUAUUUUCUCACAAACUAUUGUAGUAUAGUGGUUUUUAGGUGUCAUCCAUUAGGAUGAAUUGUUCUCGGUAAUUAAGGCGUGAAUGAGAGGAGAAUUAAUGAUUGUGAUUAAGUAAAAUUGAUUUGAAAAUUCAUGGUGAAAAAUCAAUUUAACAAUGGUUUCUAAUUGAGAAAAACAAUGAAAUGUGAAAUAAAAUAAAAUUAAUAGGAAAUGAAAUUCUCGAAGUUAGAAUUUUCUAAAAAACAAAUUCCAUGGUGAAUGGAUGUUGAGAUCUAAUUUUCAUCAAGUUAGAUUGAAAACCGAAAUUUUCAUAUAAACUGAUUUUUUAUUUAGUUUUAGGUCUAGAUUUAAUUUCCCUUAAAAUUAGGUUAUUUAAUCCAAGAAAUCAAUUCAAAUCAUAUAUUCAAUUCAUCUUAAAUUAUCUUCCAAUUAUUCACACAAUGCAACUAUUCAAUCUCAUCAAAUCUAGCUUUUAAGAAUUUAAUGAAUCUACCUAGUUUGCAUUGUAAUAGUCAUCCAUGACAAUUUGAAGAGAAAAAUAAUUCAAUUAAUCAAUCACUUGGAUCAAAUUACCUUUGCAAUUAAAGUUCAUUUCUCUAAUUCACCACAGAUUUUGUCUCUAGAUCCUCCUUUCUCAAAGAAAAAUGAGAUUUAGCCACACAUGAUUGGAGAUUUGGUCUCAUAAGGCAUGUUUAGCUAGUGAUAAAAUGAGAGAAAAUAAAGAAAAAUAGAGAAUUCGAUUAAGAAAGAAAAUCUAAAAAAUUCUACAAUUAGAAAUGUCCAAAAAGCUUUUUCAUGAGAAAAUCAAGUUUCUAUUUAUAGGCCAAGGUCAAGUGGACACUUGACAUCAUCUAAGAGGUCUUCCGGAAGCUUCUUCAUCAAGAAAUCUGGAGUUUAAUAAUAAAAUGGUCAUUUCACAAGAGCUCAAACAAUUUCGCAUGAUUAUGUGAAAUAAAAAAUGCAACAACAGCAAUUUACAUCUUCUUGGAGCAUUUCGCAUGACUGUGUGAAAUUUUCACAUGAUCAUGUGGAAUCGACUUGACAACUCUCAUUUAGCCUACAACAUAAUUCCACCUUUUGGUCCAUUUUUCAUAGUCAUGCGAAAUGGAAAUAUUUGAUUUUUAAGUUUUCUUUUGUCAUUUCUUUCAUUUCCUUCUCUUGAUUCCACUUCAACUACCUCCGAAUCCUGGUCCAAACCAAUUGCAUUACUUCUUUCAUUAUGCAUUUGGAUCAUCAUCAACAUUAUUUGUUCUCUUCAAUUUGAUUCAUCUCUUUUGUCACCAAUUUAUCAAAAUCAUACCUUGAAAUGACUCCAAAACUUCAUAAAACUUGUUAGUAACUCUUGCAAGGGCAACAACAUAUUAAUUAAGUGUUUUAGGCAUAGUUACUACUCAAAAGAUGCGAAACUCAUGAUAAUUAUUAUAUAAAAUAUGCUCUUUUUGAGUAGUAAUCAACUUUCUUGCAUAAGCAGACCUUUUAGGGUGGAGUACUAAAGACCAAUAUGCUUGUCCUUGUUGUAAUAAAGAAACUUGCUCUUAUUGAUUGCACCAUGGGAGAAAAUUUUGCUACAUGAGUUAUCAUCAAUUUCUUCCCACCAAUCAUAGAUUUAGACGUGACAAGAGGCCUCUUAAUGGCAAGGAGGAACUGACACUCACACUUAUACAAUUAUCGGGCAUUGAUGUGUUGCAACAAUUAGAAUAACUUACACCAAUUAUGUUGGGGAAGUCACAAAAGGCAAACAUGAAAACUAAAAGGAAAAAAGAAAAAUGUUACAUAUCACCACAACUGGAAAGAAAAAAGUAUUUACUUUCAUUUGCCAUAUUGGAAAGCACUUAUUUUACAUCAUAAUAAUUUAGACAUAAUGCAUAUUGAGAAAAAUGUGUGACAAUAUAAUUGAGACAUUGUUCAGUAUUGACGAAGAAACAAGGACAACCUAAAUAGUCAUCUCGAUUUACAAGCUCUAACUAUUAGAAAUGAGAUUCACCCAAUAGAAAGCAGGACCAAAUUUAUUUUGCUUGCAACAUGCUACUCACUCACCCCAAAUGAGAUUAAGGAAUUUUGCAAGUUUUUGAAAUCAAUAAAGGUCCCCAAUGGCUAUUCUUUCAAUAUCUCUCGUUAUGUGCAACUCAAUGAAAGGAAGAUAUAUGAGCUCAAAUUGUAUGAUUGUCAUGUCCUAAUGCAACAACUUCUCUCACUUGUAGUUCGUGGAGUUCUACAUAAGAAUGUUUGUGGAGUUAUCAUAGAAUUGCGUAAUUUUUUCAAGCAAUUGUGCUCAAAGGUGUUAGAAACAAAUCACUUACACCAACUUGAGAACAAUAUUAUUGUCAUACUAUGUAAAAUGGAGCAAAUAUUUCUUCCAUCAUUCUUUGAUAUUAUGGUGCAUUUACUUGUGCAUCUAGUAAGGCAAAGGUUGCAAGACUUGUGCAAUAUUGUUGGAUGUACCUAAUUGAACGAUAUUGUUAUAAUUUCAUAUGAAUCAUUUAAUUUUAUUUUAUAUUAUGUUCAGUUCAUUAACAUGUACAUUGGUCUACAUAUGGAUGAUGAUAGGUACCUAAGCACUUUAAAGUCAUAUGUGCGUAAUAGAACUUUUCUAGAAGGUUCUAUUGUAGAAAGGUACCUUGCAAAAGAAUGUACAACAUUUUAUUCUAGGUACUUGAAUGAUGUGGAAAUAAAGUAUAAUCACAAUGAUAGAAACUUUGUUGGUUUCAACACUAGAGGAGAUGAAAGGGGUUAUCUUUAAACAUAUUGGACAUGCAUUGGGAAAGCCCAUAUUUCAUUAACUUAGUUCAAAAGAGUGGUCACAAGCACAUUUAUAUGUGUUGACAAAUUGCGAAGAUGUCAUACCAUUCAUUGAGUAAAAAAUUUAUUUGAAUUUUAAUUAAAGCUCUAGUUUAUAUCCUUAAUCAAUGUUUUUUAAAUUCACAAGGAGCACAAGCAAACCAUCAAGGCUAGACCACAUAUACGUGUUUGAGACGUAGAUUUAAUUCAUAACAAGGAAUUUAUCAAGUGGUUUGAAAGACAUGUAAGUAUAUUCCUUAUUAUAAGGGAUUUAUUUCACAUUAUGUUUAUAUUGAAUCCAAACCUAUUAUUGAAUUGUAGGUUGAACAAUUACAUAAUGAAGGUCAUAUAUCUGAACACCUUCUCACAUUAUCAUGUGUUCCAAAUUCAUUAGUUACAUGCUUCAAAUGAUAUAUUGUCAAUGGAUUUAGAUCCCACAUUAAAGAACGUGAUAAAAAAGUUUUUAAAAAAAGACUCAGAAUAAUGGAAUUGUUGUAGUUGCAAAAACGUCAAGCUUUACAAGUGCAUGUGAUAUGAGUCCAAUUAUUAGUGAUGCUCUCUACUAUGGUGUUCUAACUAAAGUUGUUGAGUUACAUUAUCUUGGUGAAAAUAAGGUUGUUUUAUUCGAGUUUGAUUGGUGGGAUGUUACAAAUAUUGGAAAAUUGAUAAAAGAUGAUGAGUACAAUUACACAUUUGUUAACUUUGCAUGAAUUCUAACCACGAACGAACGAUUUGUACUUGCAUCUCCAGCAAAGUAAGUGUUCUAUGUGAAGAAUGCGAAUGAAUCAGAUUGGCAUACUAUCAUGGAGAUGCAACCUCAAGACCUCUAUAAGAUGAACGGGAUAGGAUCCAAUGGUGAUUUUGAACCAUUUCAACAAAGUGAACUACAUGAUCACUAAUAUAUCUCAGAUUUAGUUGAUGAAGAUAUAAUCAAGUGGAACAAAAGUGAUGUUUUAGGACUAAUCAUCCUAAAAAAUAUUGUAGUUUCUUAAAAAAAAAAUGAAAAUGAAGAAGAUAAUUGAACCUUUGUCAUACUUUAAAAAGCAACUAUGCAUUGUUCAUUUUGUAUGUUUUGGUUUUCUUCAUUUAAUUUCCUGAUUUUUGUGAUUCAAUGUCAUAUUAUUGAUCUUGAAAUAUUUUUCUAAUUUUUCAUUCUACGAUGGUUUCAACAAGGAUGACAUCAAGUCAAAAAAGGAAAUGUGGUCCCACACACAAUAUUGCAUUACAGGGAUUAAGGUCAGGGAAGAAGGUAAAAGUUGCAUUUAAUGAGUACAAUCAAUUGGUUAAACAGAAAAAUGGAAAACACUUAUCGAGCUACAUAGGGACACUUGUAUCUAACCAACACAAUGUACCUCUCCAAGCUAGUGAUUGGAAAAAUGUUCCAAAUGAUGCAAAAGAGAAAGUAUGGCCUUUGUUUUGGUAUGUUGUAUUUCUCACUAUAUGAUGUCAUUUCACUGUUAUUCUAUUUUGUGACUAACGUUUGAAUCAUAUGUAAGAAAAAUUUGAAGUAGAUAAAGACUGAAAAGAUUACAUGUUGGGUAUAGCCUCAAAUAAAUAUAGAAGCUAUAAAAAUAUGAUGAAUGCAAAAUACUAUGACCCUUGGCAUAAGGAUGCAUGAGGAGAGGUUAAUACAUAAAUCACCAUUUGUCUCUGAUGUUGAUUGGAAGUGGCUUGUCUCUGAUGCAUAAACCAAAUCCCCCACUGAAUGUUUGAUAUUUGAUAGCAGGAAAAACACACCCGCAGCUAUACACCUCCAUCAUUCAGAUAAUUAUAGUGGGGGAGAUGAUUCAUGGUUGCCCUUAUACCCUUUAUUUGCACCAUCUAUUGAGAUUCUUUAUCAUGGCCAGGUUUUACUGCAGCAAUAAGAUAUGGUGGCAACAAUUUUAUCUAUAGGUGCGGUUCCAGACCGCCUCCAUAGGUGCGGUUCCUGACUGCCUCCAUAGGUGCCUCUUCUUGUAAUGUUUGUUCUGGGAAUUACACUUGAAAGCCUUAUCGUGAUAAGGGAUUACAAACACUAGUUCAGAGGACAGCCAUGUUAAACUUCCACUAUGUUUGUGUCACAUUAUCAGCAGCCUAGUGUUUAUUGGUCAUGCUAUCUGCAACUAAUAUAACCCGGUGAACUUCAAUCUAAAUUCUGAAAGUACUCAUGUGACAGAUGGUGCCUUUCAGCAGAUAUCAUCAAUUUAAAAGUAGUGUGUGUGCCUAUAGGUGGGAAGGCCUUGGCAAAUGUUCAGUAUUCCGGUAAUUCAAGAAGGAUAUAUCUAAAAUAGAUUUUCUUCUUGCCCAUUUCAAUAGUUAAAAUUUGAGAAGAUUGUGUCCACAUCACACAAAUAUUAUUGGUCCUUCUGUUGCAAUUUACCUCUGAACAUGUCUUCCAAUUCCCACGGUCCUGUUACUCCAGGAAAACUAUUUCGGUCAUAUUGAAAAAAAAAAUAUUAAAGAAGGUACACAUGCUUUUAAGUGGACUGGGGCAUUCAUAUCAGGUGGUCUGUAUCCACAUAUGCCACUUCGUGAAAGGUGGAACAGCCUAAUCACUAGGCUAUUUAGUGUGGCCCAGCCACGUUAAUCAAGCACAAGUCUUCAUACUUAAAGUCAAAUGGUGUCUUUAGUCUCAUUACACAUCGCUAUUUGAAGAUUAACUCAUCACUAGUGUAAUGCGAUUAAGACAGUCCUAACUCAAUAUUUGUUCUAGUUUUGGAUGCAAAUGCUUGCUGGUUUCAUCAUUGGAUGGGAUAAAGGUGCAAUCAGGACUAUGAAUACGUGCAGUAAUACUUCAUUCUCUUUUUUCUCAAUGAGACUUCUUGGCACAAUUUUGCUGCUCAGCAACCUACCUUUCCAUGGAAAAUCAGUUGUGACUGAUAGUAAUGGAUAUAUUCUAGAAAGCUAAACAUAGAUAGCAUUCAAUAUUAUCGAUAUAACAUUAACAGCGUAUGUCUCAAUGCUCAUCAGCUACAAGCAAUGGACAAACACUUUGAGUAACUCACAGCAGUCAAAAUUCCUAAACAGGACAGACGUGACAGAUCUAUAUAUAGAACACUGCAUAUGAGUCACAGGAAAAGAUAAUACGGGUACAUAGAAGCUCUUAUUUUACAUAUUACUCAUACUGAUCAAAGUCGCUCAGUUGGGAUGGAUGGGAGAAGGAGGUUUGAGGGGUGGCUUGUGCGGGGAAGUUGGCAGCUUCUUUCCGGGAGCUGGUUGCUUCUUUGCUGGAGUUGAAGGAGGCUUAAUCUUCCGAGGUGGCUUGUAUGAGUCUUCAGCAUUCUCAGCAGGAGGGUGACCAGGGUUGUGACCAUAAUGUGGUGGCUUCUCUCCCUUAGGUGGUUUGCCAACUGGGGUUGGUGGCUUGUUUUCUGGGAGUGGCUUCUCUCCCUUGGGUGGUUUGCCAACUGGGGUUGGUGGCUUGUGUUCUGGGAGUGGCUUCUCCCCCUUGGGAGGUUUUUCGAAUGGGGUGGGUUUGUGUCCUGGUGGUGGCUUCUCUCCCUUGGGAGGUUUACCAAUUGGGGUCGGUGGCUUGUGUUCUGGGAGGGGCUUCUCUCCCUGGGGAGGUUUAGUGGGUGGCUUGUGUUCUGGAGGUGGCUUCUCCACCGGAGGCUUAUGCUCUGGUGGUGGCUUCUCGAAGGGGGGAUGCUCAGGGUAAUCACCAAGUGAGGGGGUGGUGAGAACCACCAUGCCAAGCAACAACACUAGCAAGUAUGUAGUAGACAUCUUUGGGUUUGGACUCAGACAGUGCAAAACUACGAGAAAUCGCUAGCCCUUUAUAGCGGCUCGGACCUAAUACUGACAUAAUAUAAAAUAAAUAUUAUAUUUUAUCAAGAGAGAACAGAGUGUAAUUUUAUCAUUAAUACCGAUCGAGGCCAAAGAAAGAAGACCCAUAAUCCAUUUCCCACAAGCAUACACAAUGCAGCUGUAAUUUUAUCAUUUACUUUUAUCCCUUGGACCACUGCAUUUUUGUUGAGAGACACAAUAACACAUUUUUAUCUGUCAUUCAACAUUUACAGUAAAGAGAGGGCACAAAACGCAAUUAGAUAAAUUAUGUUUUGCCUGCUAAAAAGAGGCAAAUAACUUUAUUUGCAACAUAAUUAUUUUGGUUUCUAGUGACCCCGGGGCCUUUCGGUUGGUUUGGGAUCGGAAAAUGAACAUCAUAGGGGGGGUUGUGCCCUUAUGGGCAUAUAUAUCUGAUAGCUUCAACUGGCCUUGUUCCUAGAAAGAAAUUGCCAAAGAUAUAAACUUAUUCCAGGCUGAAAGUAGAUGAGAGUCAUAAUGAACAUCAACCUUUGUUCAGUUUGAUUCAAUGCCCCCAUAGUGUUCAUUUCACAGAUCUGAAUGAUUAUAUCCGUUGAAUACAUAAAUUAAUGAAGACAAAUAUGAAACCCAAGAUACAUCUCUGCAUAACAACCCCAACCCUGGUUGCUAUGUUUCCCUUCUUCUAUUCACAUGAGGAUACUGGUUAUAAUUGUCAAACUUGCAACAAGCCCUUUGACACCUAACGUCAAUGGACGAAUUAAAAGUCUCCUUCAAACGUCUAUUUCACAGCAUGAAGCUUAUAAAGGAUGCUGACAACCUUCAGAGUUAGCGACAAAAGAUAAUUAUCAAGGAGAGAUAGUUCCAUGAGAAUUCCAAGGAGUCUGAAUCAAAGACAAAUUGCUCACUCAAGGGUUCUUAUUUUCUUUUAGGUACAAAUCUCUUGAGUGUUGUUAAAGAAACACGUCACUGUCAUUUUGAUUUGCAUUUAACAUUUCACUUUUGUUCUGGAAGGUUUGUUCCGGAAACAUAUCAAAUGAGCAUCAUUUUCUUCUUCGGUGACACAUGGUCGCGAGUACGUGGGUCCAUUUUCAUGCCACUUAGUUGAAAAGUUGGAAAGAAAAAACAUGCCAACAAGAAGAUAGUGAGAGAAGGGGCACUUCAAGCCUUUAACAUGAACAAACAGUAAAUAAAAGAUGUUUCUCCACUCAUAAAAGUGUGUUAGAUAGCAAUAUAACGAAUCACAUCCAAAAUCUUUACUAGGCUCAAACAUAAAGAAGACUCAUUUUUAAGAAAAGAUAAAAAUGGCAUUGUCUGAUAGUAUCCAAUACACGAGAUGGCACUUAAUUUGUACAAGAUCUGUCAAUGCUGACGCACAUUUUCUGAUUAAAAAAAAACUGAUCAGUCAAAAGCAAUGAAGAGAAGUGAUGACAAUGAAUGAUGCUUCCAAUAUUUUCACCCCUUAUAGUGUUCUUCAUGAUUCAGAUAUAUAAUUGGAAAUAGAACAACCCUAUGCCAUACAUUCGUCUAAGUAUGGUGUCUAAUUUUUUGUGUCAGCGGUUGCGAAUGGAGCGUGCAAAAGUCCAAAUUGGCGUCUCUCCAUUUCCACAUAGGAAGGUGACCUUUAUUGACAAAUACCCAAUAUUUGUAGACAUUCCUUAAAUAUCAUAACUUCUUGUUGAUUUGAAAAUCAUUUUUCAACUACCAUGUUUUAAUAAAUAUUUUUUAAAAUGUAUUUUUAUCAAAGUCCACCAUGAUGGAUAAUAUUCACCAUGCAAUAAUUAAUAAAGUACAAACUAAGCGAAAUGAAAAGCAUUUUCUUUGCUUUGAGUUGAUUUUGGUUGCAUUGAGUUGAUUUUGGUUUCAUGGUUUUUUCAACUCUUAUUUUGAUUGGAAGAUGUCAAGAAAAGAAAACAUAAAGAAAAAUUAAAAGGGAAAAAAGAAGAAAAAUAAAAAAAAAUAGAUUUAAAAGUUAAUAAAUUAUUUUUUAUAUUUAUUUUAAUUCAUUUCACUUAUUUUUCUUUUACUAUAUAAAAUUUAAAUAAUUUAAAUUUUAUAAUUAAUUUAAUUACAUUUCAUUUUCUUCUAUAUUUAAAUAUUGGAAAAAUAUUUUACUUAAUAUUUUUUUCUUUAAUUUCUUUGGCAUUUUGGGAACCAAACUUAGCCUUUAAAAUAAAAAACAAAAAAAAAAUGAAAAUAAGGAGGGAAAAGUGAGAAAAGAUAAAAACAAUAUGUAAAGGAUUUGAAAAGUAUUAGUUUGUAAUUACUAUUUGGAUUUCAAUAGUAUUUUAUUUGUCUUUCUAUAUUUCAUGUAAGAGAGAAUUUAAGAUAUUCCCCAAGGCAAAGCAUUAGUUACCUGCAAUCAGUGGUGAUAAGGCUCCAAGCCAAUUUUGGGCCCCAUAUCUUAAGACAGUACAAUUUCCAUUUCAACAUUUCUGAUUUCUCAGAUGUUUCACAUACCACAGAAGAACAUUGUUUGUGAAAAUAUGCAUUUAUGUUGGAUUUUGUAUGCUGUGGGGACUGGGGCAAGGAUCAUAUGGAAGAGUGGUUGACUUUUUCUGUACUUUAACGGUUGAAAUAGGAUAAGCACGGGCAUUUGUGAGGCUUAAUUGAUUUUGAAGCCUGAAAUUGCGUUUCUGUCAUUUUGUCAAAAAAAUGGCAGAUUCCAUACUCAUAUGUUUGGCCUGUGGCCAUGUACAGAUGCCAUUUAGUGACCAGUUUGUAACUGUCAAUCGUUGCGUUUUGACUCUGCCUCAACAACAUCUGCCAUUGACGGGUUUUCAUACUUGCAAAUCAAAUAGUCUUUCGUCCCAUCAGGAAUUUCGGUUUAAAUAUUAUUAAGCAUACGUUUGGCUGACAAUCAUUAUCCAGUUCAUGAUUUGGUUUCUUACCCUUAAUCAAUGGUUUCUAAGUGAAUAUAUGUAGAAGGAAAUCCGAAGUGUAGACAGUAGUAUCGAUAACUCUCAAUAUUCUCUAUAUAAUAGAAUAAACAGCGUCAUAGUGAUCGUCGCCUACAAGCAAGGUACAAAUACCAAAACGAGUGACUCACAUAGACAUCUCCCAACAAGAUGUAGUAGUGACUGACACAUGGACACAAUUAACUCGUAGAAAAGGAUAAGACCAUUGCACAGCAGCUCUUAUUUUACAUACUACUUAUGCUAACCAAAGUCAAUUAGUUGGGAUGGGUGGGAGAUGGAGGUUUGUGCGGUGGCUUGUGGGGCGGAGUUGAUGGCUUCUUUCCAGGAGCUUCUGGCUUUUUCAUCGGAGCUGAAGGAGGCUCAAUCUUAUGAGGCGGCUUGUAUGAGUCUUCUUUACUCUCGACAGGAGGGUGGCCAGGGUUGUGAUCAUAAUGUGGUGGCUUCUCUCCCUUAGGUGGCUUGCCAACUGGGGUUGGUGGCUUGUGUUCAGGAAGUGGUUUCUCUCCCAUGGGAGGUUUAGCAAUUGGGGUUGGUGGCUUGUGUUCUGGGAGUGGCUUCUCUCCCUUGGGAGGUUUAGUAGGUGACUUGUGUUCUGGAGGUGGCUUCUCCACCGGAGGCUUGUGCUCCGGUGGUGGCUUCUUGGUUGGAGGGGGCUUGGGGUAAUCAGCAAGAGAUGGGGUGGUGAGAACCACCAGUCCAAGGAACAACACUAGCAAGUAUGUGGGAGACAUUUUUGAGUUUGGGCUGAUCAGAUGAUGCAAAACUAAAGCAUUACGUGACCUUUUAUAGCAUGUAGCUCCCAAUACCCACUAAGUAUUGUGGGGUCCAUUUGUGCCCUACGGGGUUGAAAACUUAGACAAUUGGGCAAGGACCCACCUGACUAUGGAGGACUAGUGAGGUGUGAUCAUAGCUUUAGGAUUUUUCUUCCUCUGCAGCCGUCGUGCCGUUGGCAUGAUUUUCUUAAUCUUAAAUAAAGGCAUAGUUAUAGAGUUGUUUAAUCUCUAAAUGGGAUUUUAUAUAUAUCUUCAGAUAGCCAUUAAUAUAUUUGAUGAAGAAAGAAAGACAAGUGCAUACAACAUGUAUACGACUAGCUUUCAUGGAGUUCAUUUAUGAUCAGUUUUCCUGUACAUGUAAACCAGGAUCAUAUAUAUGUUUCUGUUCCACAACUAUUUUGGAAUCUUGUUUAUCAGUUUUUAUCAUUAUAAUGUCACAUAGGCUGCCAACUUGGGCGCUAAAAGAACCAGUUGGGCUAGUUCGUUUCAGAAUUUCAAUGUGGAUUCAGGAAUUGUUUUGUAAGAUAUGCGAAAUAGUAGAGGGAUGAAUAGUGUUUCAUUAAUAAAAGUGUCCUGUAAAUUAGAAGGUGUCAUAGAAACUAUAAUCAAUAAAUAACUUUUUUUCCCCACGGGUGGUGUUUCUUGUGGGGAUCAGUGACUGGUUUAGGUUCACCCAAAAUGAGUUCAGACUAAAAUUGGUUUGAGUCAAUGCCGUGUCUCUUUUUUCCAGAAAUCAACUAUUUUAUGCAUUGAAUAAAUCAUACAAAGAAAAUAUGAACGCCCGCAAAACCUAAACCCUGGUUGCUAACUUUCUAUGUUUCAGUUCUAUUCACGCAAGAAUAUUAGUUUAAGUUUGGGAAAAAUGGCAACUUACCUAGUGAUUACUUGGUUUUGGUUUGCGACUAUUUACGCAACCAACCAUGAGUUUGACUUUAACGUCAUGGGUUGAAGCCUCCUACAGGAAGGGAGAAAGCUCCACAGCUAGCUCCAAAAGAGAAUUAUCACAUUGAUAGCUCCAGAGAUUCCCAAGGGGACUGAAUCAAAGACAAGUUCCUCACUUUUUCUUCUUUUGAGGCCAAAUAUGAACCAAGGAUCACACAACCUCAUUCAACUUCAUAAGUUUGAUUUCAUGCAGUUGAACACUGGGUGAAGGCCAUGACAAGAAUUGAUUCAAAAAUUCUAUCACUCUUUUAAGUAAUGGAAGAUUAUUAUCUCUGAUUGGCAUCACAACAGCACAUGCUCCUAGAUCUUUCUAGACACUCCAUGCAAUGAAAGCACAAUGGAUCUUGUAACGAUAGAAACUAAGCCAUGCUACAGUACUAGAUGAUGAGGUAAAACUAGUAGACACGGGUGGCAGCCUAUAUGGGAGGGACACAAGUCUAAUUGAUUUGCAUUUCAGCAUUAUAGAUAGGUAUGUUUUGGAAGAUUUGUUCUGGAAAUACCGCACCAAGUAGGAUUCUUUUUCUCUUUAGUGGGUCCACUUGCAUGCCAAUUAACGAGUUGAAAAGUAUGAGCACCUACCUCGUGCUCGUGGAACCGAAGGUCAGUGAAGUGGGGCUCCUUUUGGCCUCGUGUAAACUUGAUUCAGAAGUGAAGUUAAUAGUCUUCCAUUCAGAUGGAUACAUGGGAAUUUUUCUCUUUUAUUUAUUUAUUUAUUUUUUUUUUGUGUGUGUAUGUCAAAGGAUAAUGAAUGAAGCGCGUUAGCUUGUUUUCUGACUGGAACCGCAGAUGUCCAAAUUGGAGUUCCUUCAUUUCUUACUUAGGAUUGUUACAUGUAUAAACAAGGUAUAAGAAAUAUGCCAACGUGUCUUGAGGAGUUAUUGAUUAGAAAUAACAAGUCACCCGACUGUAGAGUUCCAAGAUUUGAAUCUUCAGACCCUAUAGCAGCCUCUGGGGUACGUGGCAUCCUAUAGCAUAUUAAUGAAGGCUUUUUCGAUUUAGACUUCACAAUACCAAUUAAUAUGUAUGCACAAAAUGGAGAUGACCCCAAAAAAAACAGAAUCGCCAUAGUUUAUGAGGUUAAGGUGAUUCUCCACUUAAUAUCUACAUUAGCUAAUUAUGUAAAUCAAAUGAACUUCUAUUUUUCCUUUUUUUUUUUGGUUUAUGUCAAAUAGUAGCCCAUAAUUAACCCAACCAUUAGCCUGUUUGAAUUGAUUUCACAUGCACAAUGUUGUAGUAGUUCAUAUUUUGAAUUUUAUUUUUACAAAGGUAGUUAAGGAAAAUGAAGUAUAAUAAUUAUAAAAGCAGACUAUAUACACUACAAUAAUUGUUAGAAUGGUAUCUCAAAUUCUAAUUUAAAAUAUUAUUUUUUGUAAAAGAAAUAUUAUAUAGAAUAUUUCCUAAUUUUAUAAAUGAUUAUAAUUAGAUCUUUAUAAAAUAAGGAAAGUUGGUAAGAAUAUCUUUAUAAAUAUUUUAGGUCAUGAGAGAAAGAAAUGGGAUAAAAAUGUGAUGAAGAGGUGAAAUAAGAGAGUUGAUUAGGAUAUAGAUGUGAAGAAGAAAGGGAUUCAAUAUAUAUAUAUCUUUCAAUUACCACAUUAAAACCCUGUGAACCUUUUAUAUGGUUUACUUUAUUUUUAUAUUCCUCCUUUAAUAUAUUUACAUUAAUGCUUCCAUUGGCACAACAAUAACGAAUUACAAAUACAAGCAACAAGUCCCAUGUUUUAUUACCAAAAGCAGGUAAAAUCCACCUAAUAUAUUACAAUAUAUUCAUCCAAUAUUUUAGACCAAUUCUUCACCAUAAAUAUCAUAAUGUGGCUUUUGUUCUUUCUUAAAUUUAAAUUGAAUUGUCUUAUAUCAAUUUGUUUGUGAUUUUUUCAUUAACUUCACUUUCAUUUGGUUAUCUUUGGUUUUUGAAAAGUAUUAAGGAAUUAAUUAACAAAAUAAUGUUAAGAAAAAUAAUUUUCUCUCUUUUGAUUUUGAUUUUGUAGUAGAAAAAUAUAAUUAAAAUUAUUUAAAAAGUAUGUAAUUUUAAAUUAUUUAAUAUUUAGAUAAAAAAAAUAAGUCUAAUGAGUUUAAAAUAACAUAUAAAAAUAAUUUAUUUAUUUUAAAUUUAUUUUUUAUUUUCCAUUAUGUUCUCUUUCUCUUUUACUUUUUCAUAUUUUUUCUUACGAAGAAUCAAACACAACCUCAUAUUAUAUGUCAAGUGUUUGUCUAUAUUUGAGCAAUGUUAGAUACGGCCAUGGAUUCAUCAAACUAAACUGAUUUUAAUAGAUACUUCACAAAUUGAUUUAUACACUAAAUCAUUGGAUAGCAAUGAUGCAUUGGAAUUAAACGUAGGAUGAAGCUCGAAGAACACUGUUUGUGUAACAACAUAUUUAUGAAAUUAUGCAAAGGAUGAGCUUCGGGGUAGUAGUACAAGGUCAUUAAUGGAGAGCCGUGUUAAACCUUGAUUGUGAUUGGAUUCCGUUAUCAGCAACAGCAACCUUGUUUGUAACCUUGAAAGUCAUUCUGUCCACAUCGAAACUCCAAUUUGACGUUUGUAAUUACCAUUCCUGGAGUGUUCCUUGAUUGAAAUUUAAAUAAUAAUUGCGGCCCACAAGGAAUAUUUUCGAUUCUGUGGGAAUUUGACAAGGUUUGUUAGAGAAGACUGGUGACAUGUUGACUUCAAUGGUUCAAAUAGGAGACGUAUGUGGAUUUGGGGGGUUUAAUUGAAACUGAGUCCCUAUGGCUUUUUAAUAUUUGCAUUGAGCAGUCUCCAUGUGACUUCCUAAUUCCCACCAACCCUCCUGUCCAUGCUGUGAAACUAAAUUGUAAUUUAUCAGCCUUUGUCAAUGGUUUCUAAAUUAAAGAUAUAGACCAUGCAUGUACUUUAAUAAAAGCAAAUCUAAAGUGUAGAUAGCAGCAAUGGUGACACCCAAUAUUCUCCAUAAAAUAGAAUUAGAAUAAGCAGUGUUACAUUGUUCAUGAUCACCUACAAGCAUACAAGAACUUCCAUGAAUAACUCAUAGCAAUUGCCAACAGGGCGUCGUAGAGACUCAUACAUAGAACACUAUCCACCCAGAGGAAAGGACAAGACCAGUGCGCUGCAGCUCUUAUUUUUCACAUGUAUACCACCACUCGUAAUAACCAAAUUCACUCAGUUGGGAUAGGUGGGAGAUGGUGGUUUGUGGGGUGGCUUGUGGGGAGGAGUUGGAGGAGGCUUUAUUUUCUGAGGCGGCUUGUAUGAGUGUGCAGGAGGAUGCCCGGGAGUGUGACCAUAAUGUGGUGGCUUCUCUCCCGUAGGUGGUUUGCCAAAUGGGCUUGGUGGCUUCUCUCCCUUAGGAGGUUUACCAAUUGGGGUUGGUGGCUUGUGUUCUGGGAGUGGUUUCUCUCCCUUGGUAGGUUUGCCAAUUGGGGUUGGCGGCUUAUGUUCUGGGAGUGGCUUCUCUCCCUUGGGAGGUUUGCUAAUUGGGGUUGGCGGCUUAUGUUCUGGGGGCGGCUUCUCUCCCUUGGGAGGUUUGCCAAUUGGAGUUGGCGGCUUAUGUUCUGGGAGUGGCUUUUCUCCCUUGGGAGGCUUGCCAAUUGGGGUUGGCGGCUUAUGUUCUGGGGGUGGCUUCUCUCCUUUAGGAGGUUUGCCAAUUGGAGUCGGCGGCUUAUGUUCUGGAAGUGGCUUUUUUCCCUUGGGAGGUUUGCCAAUUGGGGUUGGCGGCUUAUGUUCUGGGGGUGGCUUCUCUCCCUUGGGAGGUUUGCCAAUUGGAGUCGGCGGCUUAUGUUCUGGGAGUGGCUUCUCUCCCUUGGGAGGUUUUGUUGGUGGCUUGUGUUCUGGAGAUGGCUUCUCCCCUGGAGGCUUGUGCUCCGGAGGUGGCUUCUGAAAUGGCGGGGGCUUGGGGUAAUGAGCAAGAGAUGGAGUACUG